rnacentral:rRNA from 1 species
CACGUAGGGCGCAAGCGUUGUUCGGAUUUACUGGGCGUAAAGAGCUCGUAGGCGGCUCGUUGCGUCGGCUGUGAAAACCCGCAGCUCAACUGUGGGCUUGCAGCCGAUACGGGCGGGCUGGAGUUCGGUAGGGGAGACUGGAAUUCCUGGUGUAGCGGUGAAAUGCGCAGAUAUCAGGAGGAACACCGGUGGCGAAGGCGGGUCUCUGGGCCGAUACUGACGCUGAGGAGCGAAAGCGUGGGGAGCGAACAGG